UUUGGCAGUGCUCGCAAGAGAACCGGAACACAGGUGCUGCAUGGCUGUCGUCAGCUCGUGUCGUGAGAUGUUGGGUUAAGUCCCGCAACGAGCGCAACCCUUGUCAUUAGUUGCUACGAAAGGGCACUCUAAUGAGACUGCCGGUGACAAACCGGAGGAAGGUGGGGAUGACGUCAAGUCCUCAUGGCCCUUAUGGGUAGGGCUUCACACGUCAUACAAUGGUCGGGACAGAGGGUCGCCAACCCGCGAGGGGGAGCCAAUCCCAGAAACCCGAUCGUAGUCCGGAUUGCAGGCUGCAACUCGCCUGCAUGAAGUCGGAAUCGCUAGUAAUCGCGGAUCAGCAUGUCGCGGUGAAUACGUUCCCGGGUCUU
rnacentral:rRNA from 1 species